GGGGGAAUAAUAUUGAAAGGGGGAGUAGAAUUUUGAAUAUGGUUAUUGAAUAUGAAAUGCAAAAUUUAAAAUUCAUACUUAUUGGCUUUGAGAUAAUUGCUAAAUUUUGCUCUCAAUUAUAUUUAGCAUCAAUAUUUCAUUUUAACUUGAUUCGAUUUCAGUUGAUAUGCUAAAUUUACUUAAGAGCUAUAAAGAUCAAUUUUAUGCAUAAGGGAAGAACUGAAAAUUGAAUAUUCUGAAUUAAUGCACAUUGUAUCCAGUUCUAAUCAAAACCUUAUACUUGUACAUCUGAGCAAAUACUGUGUAUAUGUUGAUUUUCAAAUUUUGCAUAUACUCAGUGUUUUGUCAUCAUCAAAAAGGGGGAGAUUGUUGACCCCCUAAUGGAUUUUGAUGAAUACAAAAUACUAGAGUAAAAUUCCAUUAUAUCUUAUCUAUUUAAUUGAGGAAUUCAUGUGUUUUAUUAGGAAUAUUGCUAAGAAAUGUCUAGGCAAGUUCCCAUAAUUUUUAUGAAUUUAUUGAAAAAUAUUUUGAGCUAAAGAAAAAGUUCAGGAACAGCCGAGACGUCUCCUGAUAGUUUCAGAGACGUCUCUGGCACAAACAGGAAGAACCGGCACACCUGGAGACGUCCCCGGCACCUGUCGAGUCGUCCCCGCGUUAGCGGAGUCGACUCUCUCAGUAGCGGAGUCGACUCUCUCAGUGGCGGCAGAAAGACGAUUUUCAAGGGACAUGCGCGAGACGUCCCCGCUGUACGCGGAGUCGUCCCCGCAAGCAAAAAGGAGACUUCCCGAGUCGUCCCCAAGAUGGCGGAGACGGCUCUCUCAGGGUUUUCCAGAGAAUAUUUUUUUGGUAAUAAGGAAGCGGAGUCGACCCUGAGAAAGCGGAGUCGUCCCAACGCAUAAAGUGCAGACAAGCGGAGACGUCCCCUGAAAGAGCGGAGUCGACUCUCUCAGGGAAUUCUAGAGGACAAGUUUUUCGGAGACAAAGAAGCGGAGUCGUCCCCAUGGCAGCGGAGUCGUCCCCACUCAAAAAGUGCAGACAAGCCGAGACGUCCCCGUAAAGUGCCGAGUCGACCCCAGAUAAAGUAAAAAGUAAAAUCCUGUAGGCGAGACGUCUCUCGUUGUAGCGGAGACGUCCCCGGAGCGCCUGGGACGCGACUGACAGCUUUUCAGGUUUGAUUUGAAUUUCAAAUCUUCUCUACUUUAUCUCUAACGGCUAUAUUUGCUUUUUGGGCUAUAAAAGGGAGCUCUUAAGUGCUUCUCAACAACUCUUCACCAACCCAAAAGCAAAAUCAUUCAAGAGAGAAAAGUUCAAGGGAGUGAGAGC
rnacentral:lncRNA from 1 species